CAGCCGCCGCGGGAAUACGGAGGGAGCUAGCGUUGUUCGGAAUUACUGGGCGUAAAGCGCGCGUAGGCGGUUAUUUAAGUCAGGGGUGAAAGCCCGGUGCUCAACACCGGAACAGCCCUUGAGACUGGAUAACUUGAAUCCAGGAGAGGUGAGUGGAAUUCCGAGUGUAGAGGUGAAAUUCGUAGAUAUUCGGAAGAACACCAGUGGCGAAGGCGGCUCACUGGACUGGUAUUGACGCUGAGGUGCGAAAGCGUGGGGAGCAAACAGGAUUAGAUACCCGAGUAGUCCCUGUCUCUUAUAC
rnacentral:rRNA from 1 species